UGGGGAAUAUUGCACAAUGGGGGAAACCCUGAUGCAGCGACGCCGCGUGAGCGAAGAAGGCUUUCGAGUCGUAAAGCUCUGUCCUAUGAGAAGAUAAUGACGGUAUCAUAGGAGGAAGCCCUGGCUAAAUACGUGCCAGCAGCCGCGGUAAUACGUAUGGGGCGAGCGUUGUACGGAAUUAUUGGGCGUAAAGGGUACGUAGGUGGUUUUUUAAGUCAGGUGUCAAAGCGUGGAGCUUAACUCCAUUAAGCACUUGAAACUGAAAGACUGGAGUGAAGGAGAGGAAAGGGGAAUUCCUAGUGUAGCGGUGAAAUGCGUAGAUAUUAGGAGGAAUACCGGUGGCGAAGGCGACUUUAUGGACUUAUACUGACGCUCAGGUACGAAAGCGUGGGGAGCAAACAGG
rnacentral:rRNA from 1 species